rnacentral:lncRNA from 1 species
GCCCUGUCUCUGGCCCCGUUUCGUCUCUGCUUCGGUCUCGUGGCUUCUGGAGUCUUCUAGAUAUAAGAUAAUUGCGCGGCACGUUAAUAUGUCUAUGUAAUCCCGACAUGUGGGCCUUUCUUCCGUAUUUCUUGAUAACCCCCUGCAGAAAUAGACAAACACCAAAACUCGUGGAAUUCUGUCAGAUAAAACCCUAAGUCUAGAUGUUGAUUUAAUUUGGAUCCUUUUCUUUAUUUAUUUGAUAAUUAAAUUUGAUACUUAAGGACCGUCAACACCUGAGAACUCCUACGCCCCCGGGCUAUGGAAACUCUACUCGCUUCCUCACCCUUGAGGCGAUCGAGACCGCCUUAAACAAAAGACUAAACGAGGAAUACGUACGUAGGCGCAAAAAGAAAAAAAAAGAGCCUCGAGCGGAAAGACAGACAAACAUUCAGAAAUCUCACAGCC